UCUUUCUGAAGUAUUUCUUUUUAAUUGCGUUUACACGUGCAGGACUGUGUGUGGGUCUGAAUUGUGAGAGCAGUGCUCCCAGAGGCUUCCAAUAGAACCACGUUUGCCAUCCAUGCUGCUGUACAGAUGUUUCUCUUUGUUGUGGUGAAAACAAGUGCUGGGGUUAAUGCGAAUGUUAAGAUAUUGGGCUGAGGGCUGGUGAGGUGAAGGACACUGAAAAAAUAAACAGGAAGGCUUGAUUCUGGGUAUGAGAUUGCCAACCUGAGCACAUUUGGGAAACAAAGCUGGUCUUGACAGGUUGGCGAGUCAUACACAGGCCCUGCUGUCUAGUUUUCCUUUCGUGGGCUCCUGCACUGUACUGGUUACUUGUGACAACUUGACACAGGCUAGAGUCAUUUGAGAAGAGGGAACCAACAUUGAGAAAAUGCUUCAAAACCG
rnacentral:lncRNA from 1 species